rnacentral:rRNA from 2 species
CUUGCUAACAUAAGAGGUCCAGCCUGCCCAGUGACUUAGUUCAACGGCCGCGGUAUCCUAACCGUGCGAAGGUAGCGUAAUCACUUGUUUUCUAAAUAAAGACUAGUAUGAAAGGCACCACGAGAACUAAACUGUCUCCUUUCUCUAAUCAGUGAAUCUAAUCUCCCCAUGAAAAAGCGGGGAUAACCUAAUAAGACGAGAAGACCCUAUGGAGCUUUAAACCUAUAACACCUGCUCUAAUAACACUAUAAUGUUACUUACAUGAUGAUUACAAGUUUUUGGUUGGGGUGACUACGGAGAAAAAACAACCCUCCGUGAUGAAAAUUCCUAAACAACAAGCUACAGCUUUAUGUAUCAGCAAACUGACACUAUUGACCCAAUACAUUGAUCAACGAAC